rnacentral:lncRNA from 12 species
AAAAAGGAAAACCCAGCAGGCUGGAUUUGAACAGAGGCCUUGCUGAAGACAGCAGGGAAAAAAAAGCCCAGAUUUGCACCACAUCUUCUGUUCGUGGAGAAUGAAACAGAAGAGACCAGGAGAAGCAGCAUGUUCAGCCUGUGGUGGUUACGCAGGAGAUGAUACAGAAGAGAAGACUAUAAUAUUAUAUACAGGAAAUCCUGAUGGCCGAAACGUCAGCACACCGCCCACCGAGUCUCACCACGGUCACUUCUACCUUCACCUCGGACACAGGCCACCUCCUGGGACCACUCACCCUCAGAAGAAUUGUCCUGAAGAAGCCAAAGUGAUAUUUUUUUUAAAAGAAAAUGUAUGGAUUGCCUGCAACGGACAAUUUAUUUUAUCUAUUCCUGUUUUCUUCUCAUUGUUAUUUUUUAAAUUAAAUUUUACAGUUUAA